rnacentral:piRNA from 1 species
AGGCAUGUCGUACUUGGUGGCAGGAGAGUA